CAAUAGCGUAUAUUUAAGUUGCUGCAGUUAAAAAGCUCGUAGUUGGAUUUCGGGUGGGAAUGGCCGGUCCGCCGUUUCGGUGUGCACGUGCUACGCCCACCUUGCUGCCGGGGACGUGCUCUUGAGUUCACGCUCGGGACACGGAGUCGGCGAGGUUACUUUGAGUAAAUUAGAGUGUUCAAAGCAGGCCUACGCUCUGAAUACAUUAGCAUGGAAUAACACGAUAGGACUCUGGCCUAUCUUGUUGGUCUGUAGGACCGGAGUAAUGAUUAAGAGGGACAGUCGGGGGCAUUCGUAUUUCAUUGUCAGAGGUGAAAUUCUUGGAUUUAUGAAAGACGAACUACUGCGAAAGCAUUUGCCAAGGAUGUUUUCAUUAA
rnacentral:rRNA from 1 species